rnacentral:rRNA from 1 species
CCUACGGGUGGCUGCAGUGGGGAAUAUUGGACAAUGGGGGGAACCCUGAUCCAGCCAUGCCGCGUGUGUGAAGAAGGCCCUCGGGUUGUAAAGCACUUUCAGUGAGGAAGAACGCCUGGUGGUUAAUACCCAUCAGGAAAGACAUCACUCACAGAAGAAGCACCGGCUAACUCCGUGCCAGCAGCCGCGGUAAUACGGAGGGUGCGAGCGUUAAUCGGAAUUACUGGGCGUAAAGCGCGCGUAGGUGGCUUGAUAAGCCGGUUGUGAAAGCCCCGGGCUCAACCUGGGAACGGCAUCCGGAACUGUCAAGCUAGAGUGCAGGAGAGGAAGGUAGAAUUCCCGGUGUAGCGGUGAAAUGCGUAGAGAUCGGGAGGAAUACCAGUGGCGAAGGCGGCCUUCUGGACUGACACUGAAACUGAGGUGCGAGAGCGUGGGUAGCAAGCAGGAUUAGAUACCCCUGUAGUC